rnacentral:rRNA from 1 species
GUCCCACGUUCGGAUUGUAGUCUGCAACCCGACUACAUGAAGCUGGAAUCGCUAGUAAUCGCGAAUCAGCAUGUCGCGGUGAAUACGUUCCCGGGUCUUGUACACACCGCCCGUCACACCAUGGGAGUUGGUAACGCCCGAAGUCAGUGACCUAACCGCAAGGGAGGAGCUGCCGAAGGUGGGGCCAGUAACUGGGGUGAAGUCGUAACAAGGUACC